rnacentral:lncRNA from 1 species
AAUACAGGAGGAAGUGUGUGGACUGGCCAGCAACCAGGCCCCUCUCCAGACUCUGAUUCCAGCUCCCCUUCCCUGCCUCCCCAUGUCCCUCAUGUCACAGAGGAGAUUCACUGUUGGCUAGAUCUUCUACUUUUAAAAUUAAGAGAAGCCAGAUAUCAUAUUUUUAAAAAUGUAAAUUCACCUGGUUUUCAGAUGUUUCCAAAGUUUUUUUUUUUUUUUGGCUUUGCCCGUGGCAUGUCAUGCAGAAGUUGCUGGGCCAGGGAUUGACCUGAGCCACUGCAGUGACAACUCCAGAUACGUAACCCACUGAACCAAAGGGGGGCUCCUCCAUUCAGAUUUUUAAAGAACACUCCCAGGCCAAAAAAACCACAUGUGAGCCAGAUGUGGCCCCAGGGCCAGCAGUUUUCCACCCCUGCUUAUGGCUCUCCUUCUCCCAUUGCACAAGCUCUUCCAGACAUGACAUGCUUUGCUGUGCCCCCAGCACCUUGCAGGGAGUGGCCAGGUCUUGGUGGGUGUGUCCUGAUUAAAUUCUUAUUGAUGCUGCAAUAGCUCGGUAUUCACAUUUUUCCCCCUUAGAACUGUUUGCACAGAUGCUAUUCUGAAUGGCUUCUUCAGUCUCUUGAUAGGCUGUGUGUCCCUGGAAAAGUAAUCAUUUCCUGGAUUUUGACUGCUCUUUUCCUUUUUCCCUUUCCCUCUCCACCACCCCCUCAGCACAUUGGCUUUUUUUUUUUUUUUUUUUUUUUUUUUUGNUCUUUUUUCUUUUUGAGGAAGCUAGACCUCAGAUCUUUUGUAUCUUGCUGGGCUGUUAAGGCUGUUCUCAAGCAGUGGUGGUUUCUGGCCAGUUCACUGCCUUUCGACCUCCAAGUUGGUGAGCCUUGGCUGGUUUGCAUCAGGGGAAAAUGCACGAUUUUCAGAUUCCUCUUCGUAUAGGGUGCGCCAUCAAGGCAAAGUUGCUUAAAGGAGCAAAGGCAGGAGGAAGCAAAGCCUCACCCUGUUUUGUGCAUUGUUUCCCAUCUUUUCAUCUUUGAGUUGUGGAGGCAAAACAUUCACUAAGGAUGUGCUUGGGGAUGAUAGGGGCUUACUUGCGUGCCUGCAACCGAGCAAGGCUCUGGGGAAGUCAAAGGGAACUGCGGAUUUACGAGUCUGAAAGAUCCAUCCUUGCCCUUAAGAGACGAAGAGCAAGAGUAAGACCACUGGCAAAGAUGAUACAGCAUUAGCGCAGCUUUGGUUAUAGUGCAGCAUCGUUCUUUAUUUAGCGUUGUUCAGAGCUGUGAUAAAACGACAUCCUAGAGAGACGAAGCCCUGAUGCCAUGCCAUUGUUGAUAACUUUGCCGUAUGAAGUCCUGUAAAGACUAACUAUGAACUAAUUAUAGGGGAAAAUCCACAGUUAAAGUAACAGUGAUGUUCAGUCACCCAGGAUUUACUGGGUGUCUUCACUCCCUGGCGCUGUGCCAGGGCUCGCAGUCACACUUGGGGGUCCCUCUGAGGCACCCCCCCCACCCCAGUCUAGUGCAGGGACACAGACGAUGAUGGGCAGGUGAUGCUGGAACUCAGGAGAUGAAGCAGCUGAUGACAAGUGAUGGCUUCAGAGGGCAGGUGCCUUAGAUGGGUCCAUGAGGGUCGGAUAACUGAGGCCCGCUGGUCCGGGAGGCUUCUUUUAGAGGAGGUGAGCCUGGAGAGAGGGUACUGGACAGGGCUGGUGGGUGGCAGAAGGAGGUGGGUUUGGCUGUUAGGGAAAGAAGGACUGCUGUCCCUUGCCCCGUCUCUUAUCUCUGAAUGGGAAUGCUAUUUCCUGUCUCUGGCUGAUUUAAGGCUUUGCAGUGCUAACGAUGGUAUGAUGAUUAGCAAUCGCUGCUGUGUUCUGUGAGAGCCCACUGUGUGAUGGGCAGAGUGCCCAGGGCUUCCGUUCAGUUCAUGACCCCUGCUCAGCACUUCCCUAUGGGAUAGGAACCAUCAGCAACCCCAUUUUUCAGAUGGGACAGACUGAGGCUCCAAGACGUUAAUUGACUAGCCCAAGGUCACACAACUCUUAAAAGGUAGGUUGGAACCCAGGUCAGAGGACAAGGAUUGGGUUUGGAACCAAUCCAUUAACCAGUCUGUUAACUCCAGAUACCCAGGAAGCAUAAAUGAAUCCUUUUCCCUAGAUGAAAUUUCUCUUUAUUCCCACUCCCCACUUGCCCACCCCCCUCUUCUUCGCGUCCCCAAAGGGCAGGACGGUUUUGACCUUGGCUGCAAGUUUGAGCUAUUAGAACCCCACAUCUCAGGUUCUAAAUGAGACGGUCUCUGGAUAGAGGUUGAGAGAGCAAAGGGAAAAGUGAAAGUAGUUGUCUUAGGUGAUGUGAGUUAUAGUAAAAGGGCUUACAGGUUUUGUUUUUUUUCUGUCAUGACCUGUUUUAGUUUUACAUAGAAAUCGGUGGUGGUGAAUGAGAGUGAGGGUGGGAGGAUGAUGAACAGAUUGACAGAGAAACUCCGGAUGGAGGAAAACUUCUAGGUCCCUGGACCAGCAUCCCUAAGGGGCUCGUGGAGUUCCCGUCAUGGCGCAGUGGUUAACGCAUCCGACUAGGAACCAUAAGGUUGCGGGUUUGAUCCCUGGCCUUGCUCAGUGGGUUGAGGAUCCAGCAUUGCCGUGAGCUGUGGUGUAGGUCGAAGAUGCGGCUUGGAUCCCGCAUUGCUGUGGCCCUGGCCUAGGCCGGUGGCUACAGCUCCGAUUCAGCCCCUAGCCUGGGAACCUCCAUAUGCUGCGGGAGCAGCCCUAGAAAAGGCAAAAAGACAAAAAAGAAAGAAAGAAAGAAAGGGGCUCAUAAGCUUUAGGCAGCACAAUGGCUCCUGUCUCUGAAACUCUGACCCCAGAUGGUCCGGAACCUCAGCUCUGCCACCAAAUCACUGUGCCUCAGUUUCUUCAUCUGUAAAAUGGGAAUAACAGCCCUGCCGUUCUAGGGCAAUUAGGAGGAUUAAAUGAGUGAAUGCACAGAACAGCCUCAUCCCCAAUGCCAGUUUCUCGCUGAAGCCAUGGUGGGCACCUGACCUUGCCCAGUUUUAUUCCUUCUGGUAUCAGUCUGUGUCUUCUCGGGGAAACCAGGUGAUUACGAAUGAUCGUCAUUGUGGUUCUUCGUGGAGCUUUAAGUUCUCCUGGCAGCAGAGUGGUCUUGAUAAAAUCGAGAUCAGAUCAUGUAGGUCCUAUUCAGAACCCCCCCCAUUAGAUGCUGGUCUCCCCCGCCAACAACUGCCCUGUAACCCCGCCCAGCUCCUAGCCCUCCAGUAGACCCCCCCCACCGCCCCACCUCUUGUCACUUUGCCAGUGAAGUGUCUCCCCCCUUCAGUGUCAUUCACCCACCUCAGCAGGUCCCCCUCCUCUGAGCUAGCACCCACCGCAGUCUCAAGUCCGGUCUGCGUUAAUCUGUCUUGCCUGUGUAACUCCCGAUAGAAAACAAGCGUCAAGGGAUUUUUGUUCCCUUUAUUGUGUUCCCUGUUCCACAUUGUCCAGCCCCAGGGUUGUUUGUUGAGUGAAUGCAUGAAAAUCAUCUUUGCAUCUCAGUCUGACCACAAACCUGUGAGGUGGGGAUUAUUAUUAUUUUUUUUAUUUUUAUUUUUUUUUGUCUUUUGUCUGUUGUUGUUGUUGCUAUUUCUUGGGCCACUCCCGCGGCAUAUGGAGGUUCCCAGGCUAGGGGUCGAAUCGGAGCUGUAGCCACCGGCCUGCGCCAGAGCCACAGCAACGUGGGAUCCGAGCCGUGUCUGCAACCUACACCACAGCUCACGGCAACGCCGGAUCGUUAACCCACUGAGCAAGGGCAGGGACCGAACCUGCAACCUCAUGGUUCCUAGUCUGAUUCGUUAACCACUGCGCCACGACGGGAACUCCUGAGAUGGGGAUUAUGAUGCACAUUCGAGGGGGAGGAAACUGCACCCCGUUUUCCACAGCAGCUCUUAGCCAGGGCCAUCCAGCUGGCAGUGGCAGAGCCUGUGUCCCAACCACGUGCUCUACCAGAAUGUCUGUGCUUUGAAUUCCAGUGGCCAGUGUCUGCCCUGGGUUGAGAUCUCCGUCCAGCGCUCUCGUUCAUCUUGUCAGCAGCUUUGUCAGGAGGAUACUCUCACCCCAUUUCCCAGCAGUGGAGGGGAGCUCUCAGCAACCUGGACCCUGGCAGAGACUCACCAGCAUUCCGACUUACCACGUGCCUGUCAGAGUCCUCUUUGGGAGUUGUGCUUCCCACCCAACAAAUGACCAGCAGACAUUUUUGGUGUCACAGAAAUGGGGAGCGGGUUUCCUGUAGCUUCAACAGUUAGUCCCUGGUGGGCUCUUGUUCUCUACGAAAGAAGAUGGCAUCACAAGCGUCGUCGCAAACCACCUCCCGUCCGCCCCCCACCCUGUGUAGGAACCCCAAUGUGACCCAAGGUCGAAUUGCAUCUUUUUUUCUAGUGUCCCCCAACUAUACCCCCCCCCUGGUGUUCUCCCUCAGAACUAAUGCUUAUUCUGAGUUUUGGUGUUUAUGAUGUCCUUGCUUAAAAAUGCUUUCCCCUCAGUAUGAUGUGGCUUACUUUUUCCACUCGAGUUUGACAAACGUUUGCACCGUGUGCAGCUUGCUUUUCUCCUUGAUAGAUGCUCAGUGCGUGUGGAUGCCUGGCUCUGUGGUCUCUUUCUCACUGCAGUCACCCUUUCCAUUGUGUGAACAGCCCACCGUGUAUUUAUCAGCUCUCCAAAGACAUGUGAGUUGUGGGCAGUUUUUAUUACUGUUAUUUUUUAACCCCCCCACACCCCAAGGACAGACAGAGCUGCCGUGAGCGUUCUUAUACACCUGGUCGCAUGUGCCGGCGUUUCGGGCUUAGGCGAUAGGACUCAAGGCUUCUUUGGGGUUUUCUUGGGCUCCUGGACUCUCAGCAUCAGAAGGGGCACCUUUGGCCGGGGACUGUUGACCCUCAUCGGUAAUCUGAAACAACAUGCUGUUGGAGCAGGAGUCCUGGAACGGGAUGGCCACGGAUUCACUCUUCCCUUUGCCCCGUUCUGUGACUUAGUCCUUUGUGCAGUGAACUUAACUUGGCCUGUUUCCUCAGCAGGAACCGGGAUGAAAGGUCUGCAUCAUUGCGUCAUUUGGAAGUUUAAAUGAGAUAGGGCACCUUGAUUAACUCACAAGGCAGGGGUGAUAACAGCGCUGAGUGAGUAAGCGCUCCCUGCCUUUAGCAUUGUUCCCUGUGGGCCUUUAAGGAUCUCUUCUACCUGCCGCAGCCUGAUGCUGGGGUCCAAACAGAUGCCCUGAGGGUCAUGACUCAGAGAAGGCUGCCCCUUGGCGGUGGGAUGGGUGGGAUUGGGAAAGAGGCCUGGGUCAGGUUACCUGUUCUCGACGUGGGCCCUGGAUUCCAGGCAGGUGCACAGUCCCUCCGGCUGGAUCACUGCUCUCUGCCAGGCGAUCUUGACCUGCCCAGGUGGGAUUUCGCCCUCUUCCCAUCUGUGCUUCCCAGGCUUUUCUUCAUGGAAUGUAGGAAUGCAGGGCACCUCCUCCAGUGGAGGUGUGUUUACAAUGGCCCUCAGCUUAGAUACCCCCGCCAGGAUAAGCCUUUCUGAAACAGAUAAACUGAUUGCAGUGGAAGAGGAUCAGCCUCCAGCUGCGAUCUUCCCACACUGCUGCCUGUUUCACAUUCCAGCCCGCAGGCAGGUAGGUCCCUCUGCCAGGAGUGGGACCCAUUUCAUCAGCAAGAUUUAUUCAUUCAUUAUGGCUUAGACCCAGGGCCUGGGCUUUUUAGAGCCGGGGGCUCUGCCUGGCUUUUCGAGUCAUCCUAAUACUUGGUAGCAGAGGCCACCCAAAGCCACAGAUAGUCGCUCACCUGAGAGAGAAGCAUAGACAAACAGCAUAAUGAUAAGAGUGCAGUCUUUUCUCAGUUUGAGGUCUACCUCCACCCGUAAAAGUCUCAGAUCUCCCUGGGGAAAUUGUCUUGACUCUUAGUUUGCUCAUCUGUAAAAUCAGGUAGUAAGUAAGUAGUACCCUUGAAAGAGAUUUUGUGCAUUAACAGCUUCCCCCAGAACCAGCCUAUCGUAGGUGCUUACUAAGCGCUGCUUAUGAGUAUCCAGCUGGGCCCUGAGCCCUGAGUAGGCACAUGAGUGCUGGGCCUCUAGCCUGCAGGGGAUCAGGAAAUGUGGGCUGAGAGUGAAGGUGUUGAGUGCUUUCCCGUUGGAAAAGCCCAGUGGUACGCAUCGCUUCAUUUCUUAAAUUUCCAGCUUUGGCGUUUAAGAAUCCAUGCAGGAGCCCUGUCUCUGCAAAGUGACGUUCGUUGCUUCCUUCCUUGAUGUCCUCAUCUGCAGAAUCCUAUCAGCUCACAUGUAAAUAGCUCCCCCUGUGAUCUGCACUCUGCCUCAUAUCCAAUCCAUGCAUUUAAUUCUUACAACAGUGUUAAUCUCCCCACUUUACUGAUGGGAAGACUGAGGCAGGAAAGUAAGUGACUGUCCACGGUAACAGCUAAUGUGUAGCAGGAUUGGAGCCAUGAUUUGAAGCCUGCUUUUAGAAUCUCUGUGUCUAGGAGAUCCUGCUGUGGCUCAGGGGGUUAAGAACCUGACACAGUGUCCCCGAGGAUGCUGGUUUGAUCCCUGGCCUCGUUCAGUGGGUUAAGGCUCUGGCAUGGCUGCAAGCUGGGGUGUAGGUUGCAGAUGUGAUUGGGAUCCAGUGUAGCCACGGCUGCGGCAUAGGCCGGCAGCCGCAGCUCUGAUUCAACCCCUAUCCCGGGACCUUCCAUAUGCCGCAGGUAUGGCC